GCGCAAAAAAAAAAAAAAAAAAAAAAAAAAAAAAAA
rnacentral:ribozyme from 13 species